rnacentral:rRNA from 1 species
CACGUAGGGGCCAAGCGUUGUCCGGAUUUAUUGGGCGUAAAGAGCUCGUAGGCGGUUCGACAAGUCGGGUGUGAAAACUCCGGGCUCAACCCGGAGACGCCACCCGAUACUGUCGUGACUGGAGUCCGGUAGGGGAGUGGGGAAUUCCUGGUGUAGCGGUGAAAUGCGCAGAUAUCAGGAGGAACACCGGUGGCGAAGGCGGCAUCCUGGACCGAUACUGACGCUGAGGAGCGAAAGCCAGGGGAGCAAACGGG